rnacentral:rRNA from 1 species
AGAGACUGCAAGCGUUAUUCGGAUUCACUGGGCGUAAAGGGUGCGCAGGCGGCUAAGUGUGUCAGAUGUGAAAUCCCGAGGCUCAACCUCGGAACUGCGUCUGAAACUACUUGGCUAGAGUAUUGGAGAGGGUAACGGAAUUCACGGUGUAGCAGUGAAAUGCGUAGAUAUCGUGAGGAACACCAGAGGCGAAGGCGGUUACCUGGACAAUUACUGACGCUCAGGCACGAAAGCGUGGGGAGCAAAAGGGAUUAGAUACCCCUGUAGUCCACGCCCUAAACGGUGCACACUAGGUCUUGGCGGAUUCGACCCCACCAGGGCCCAAGCUAACGCGUUAAGUGUGCCGCCUGAGGACUACGGCCGCAAGGCUA